AGCGGUGUUCGGAAUUACUGGGCGUAAAGCGCACGUAGGCGGCUUUGUAAGUUAGAGGUGAAAGCCCGGGGCUCAACUCCGGAAUUGCCUUUAAGACUGCAUCGCUAGAAUUGUGGAGAGGUAAGUGGAAUUCCGAGUGUAGAGGUGAAAUUCGUAGAUAUUCGGAAGAACACCAGUGGCGAAGGCGACUUACUGGACACAUAUUGACGCUGAGGUGCGAAAGCGUGGGGAGCAAACAGG
rnacentral:rRNA from 1 species